CCUGUUUUUAUAAUAAUGGUAUAUGUGACAGAAUUAAAGAGCGCCCUCCCUUCAGAUUUUUCGGAUAUAGCUUUCAUGGCUAGUGACAGCUUGACAAGAUAUAUCCCCCCGGCCUGAGCGCUGGAUGGACCUUGAAGUCUGAAGACCAUAAACCUGGUAAAAAAUCUCUCCGGUUCUAUAAAGAAUGAAAAAUAAUAAUAACGGGUUCUUUUAUAACGCUUUUAAACUUAAUAUCAAAGCGCUUUUCCAUUAUAUUACUCAAGGUCUAAGCUGAAAACAGCUUCGUGUGCUGUUUUACAAAGCGUGUGCGUUCUUUUGUUCCUUAGAAACAAACAAACAAAAAAUUAUAAUCAAACUGAUAAAAUUUAUUUUAACGAUGUUUCAAUGAACUAUAAAUUCCCCAAAGCAUAUACGCGUGAGCUCAUUUUGCAUGAAAACUUCACUUUUUAAAUCGAAUGUGAGCACAUGACAUCGAGCAUGGGCCGGACACAUCACGUGGUCGUCGUGAUUUAUAACAUUGUGCAGCUGUAAAAUGGCGCCUGUUUUCAAAUCGGGUGUAUCUUUCCACCAAAGAGGCUUGUUUUUGGCCUGCCGGAGUUCGUUUUCCCUCAAACGAAGUACACGUCUUGAAUAUUUCAUACAUCAAGCGUGAUCAUGAUAUUCGCUAGAUGAACAUCCAGACAUCCUGUUUUAGGACAGGUUCAAUGGCCAAGGCUUGCUGGAGUCCAUAACCUGGCCCACAGGAGGAGGUGACCAGGCUUCGCUCCCUGAUCACUGACUCCCACUCCAUUGUGGAGAUGACUUAGCCAGGCCAGGCUGACUUCAUCAGCUUAACACUGCAGCACACCUGGCUGACAGAACAGACAUUACUGUAAGAUGGCUAUCACCAUCCAAUCAUGCCAUGACAGCCAGUUCAUACUUCGGAAUGGUGUCAGUGUCCAGCUGCAGAGUGACUCAUCUCUGUCUACGGGGAUGGGUUUGUGCUGUCGUGACUAAGUGCAAGUUUGCCCUGCCUGAGGACUUGGUCAACCGGCUGGACUGGCGAUACUGCGGCUGGAGGGUUGACAAAGACAGCACCACUUUGCCACUGACUCCAAGACCUCUAUCCCACCUGUGAAGUUCAACAGUUGUCCCGCCCACAUUAGAGGAACACGUCCUGCUGAGUCUAACCUGUAGCAAAAUUCAUACGAAGGUGUUUGGAACCAUUGGAGAGACAACACAGAGACUUGUCUCUGUGGUAACUGGAGCAGAGAUCCCGGACACUUUUUGGCAUUUGCAGGAUGGACGUGAUGUACGGUAUUUUGUGAAAUCAAAUGAUGCAGAAGAAGACUUAGACACAUUGGAUUUGAUUUCAGAAGUGGCAAGCUUGAACAUGAUCCUCAACGAUGGAAGGAUGGUAGUGGCAGCACAUUCAUCACCACAAGCAAACGUCACAAUUAUUACAUUACAGACAGACUUCACAGCCUGGCACUUCCUUUACGGCAUCACCAUAGAUGCUGCUAGAACUAUGGUGCUAGCCCAGGCAAAGACGGUGGCCAAUGCCCAGGCUUGGCAAAAGGAGAAAGUCAACAUUUCAAACAGUUGGUGGGCCACAGAAAUUGUCGCCAUAGUAAAGUGUCGAAAAAUAAAACAUAAAUGAGGGUUGCCUCACUUACACCACCAUGUAACACUGCAUGAGCUGUCUCAUAAAAUGACUGAUUUUGCUACCAUUUUUGUGUACAGUUUCUGCUGAAACAAGGAGAUUCUUCUAAAUGCAUACUUAUUCAUGUGUUGUUACCUGUAUAAUCUGUUUUAUUCCUUCAUGAUGAAAAGCUUAAUCUGCUGAACCACCAACGUUGCUACAAAUAACUUGCUUUUAAUAUUUGUCAGACAUUACUCUAUUUUUUUAAUCAUAUUUCAGGAAUUGUUACUUGUACAUGUCUUGUCAAUUGGUCAUCAGUUUUCAAUUAAAAAAGAACUUGAUUGAAGUAAAAUUAAUGACUACAUGUGUAAUGUGUAGUUAUAGCUUCUUUGAUAGCAGGCAUGACACGAAAAGAAACGCUUAAAUGUUUAUGAGAUGUUCUGCAAGAAAGUGAAAAGGUUGGGAUCCUGUACUUUGUGAAAUUGCAAGGAAAUAGGGAAAGAAUAGUAGCUGAUUGAGUUCUGCGCUGAGUAUGGAUAUGGGAAAGCGUGUACAUGUACAAUGCUAACAGUUGGGGGGACAUUGAAACUGUCAUCGGCAUGUUUUAUUCAUAAGAAUAUGUCUCCAUUGUUCAGUGAGUUCAUUCGAAUCACCAGAGAGUUUCACGUUUCAGUGUUUAAUUUAGUAUUUUUUUUUUUAAUAUUUAUUUGGCUUUGCAUUGGGGAUGUUAAUUUCGUACACCAUUUCUGAGAAUUCAGUGUGAUUAUUUAUAUUUGUGUAAGGACAGAACUUAGUAUAAAAUUAGUUUAGUCUUAACUAUAUUCAUCUAUCUGUACAAGAGUUAACAUGUAUUUCACCUGUUAAAUAGUCCAAUUCAUGCCUACAGUCACUGGAAGCAUAUCAACUACACAUAUUUUAGGAUACAUCAACAUUUUUGCAAAUCUUACAUCAUUUUUCAAGACAAAGUUUAUGAUUGCAAGACAGUUAUUUUUGCAAAAGAUUUCAAAACUGCCAUAGAUGAAACAGGUUUACUAAAAGACAUCUAUUAUGAACAGCUUAGAAUAUAGAUAAAUUAUAUUUGGGCAAAUGAUACCUUUUGUUUGGAAUAAAGUGCCUUUUGAACUACAAAUACGCUUUGCUAUAAAUUGUUACCCUUUGUGGAUAGUAAGAUAUCUGGUUGCAAGGAAUGUGGUUUUUUUCAUCGUGUAUCUGUAAUGGUGGCACAGAUAUGCAAAUGAAGCAUGGCUGUUUUCAUAACUAUGAAAAAAUUUACAUAUGUCAUAUUUAAAGAGAAAUGAUACCCUACAGGUAGAGAAAGUGUUCACAAUAUGUAUUUAAAGUUGCUCAUGCAUCACCAUGUGUGAAUCAUUGCGCAAGUGAUUUUGUGACGAACAGGAUACGAAACAACGGGGAGAGAAUUAUGGGAACUUUUACUAUUUCAACUCUUUGCUUUCAGUUUUCUGCUGUUUUGUGUGUGGCCACUUACAUUCCCGAGAAUAUAAAAACAAUUUUUCAAAAAGAUUUCACAGGUAAACUUUGAAACCAUUGAUGGAUGGCACCACUUCUUGCCAAUAUGUACUGGCAAGUUGAUAUCAAUUGUUGAUGCAUAUUUGAUUGGGUCUAAUCAAUCCAUGUUAUAAUGGCUGAAAAAAGUACCUUUAACAUUCAGAGUUUAAUUUCACAGCUAUACUAACCGUGGAAUUCUGCUCUUGCUACUGUUCUGUGAUAUACUAUGCCAGCAUCAGCAUAUUUUAUGUCAUUUCUUACUUACUCGACUGCGAAUACACAGUCCCUAUAAUAUAGUAAUUAAUCUACAUGAUAAGCAAACCAUUGAUACAUAAAUCUUCGCUAUAGUGAGGGACAAUUCUUUUCCAUGUGAUUAGCAAUGCUGUAAAAUUGGGCAUUUACUUAUUAUGGCCUUUUCUUCACUCCUUUUUAUUCCCAAUUUGUAUUUGUGUUUUCAUGUUUAAUACUAUAAAUGCUUUCUGAAUGGCAGAGUUUAUCCAGUUUUUCUUAUGUUUUCUUUCGACUGCCCUUACUAAUGUAGCCAAAUUUAGCAGAAUUUAUGUAAGUUUCCUUAUUUGUAAUGUGAUUGCCAGGUACGGUGGUGCUAAUUCCACCUGUGUAUAUUGUGUUCUAAGUGAACAGCUUUAUGAUGUUAAUAUUCUUCGUUCACUGAUAUUUUCCCCAAUUUUGAUUUUUUUUCUUAUUGUUUAUUAGGCAUGGCAUGUUUGAAGUCUUGUCCAAUUUUGAGAAUAAAUUAUUGAUUAAAGAUAACUACAAUGGAAAAUUUUCUGUAUUUCGUACUGUGCUGCAGUUUCUGCGAGCUCAUAUUUUUUUUGUCCACAACUGAUCAUCAGACAUUAAAAAAUGAU